rnacentral:rRNA from 1 species
GCCUAACACAUGCAAGUCGAGCGGUAAGGCCCCUUCGGGGGUACACGAGCGGCGAACGGGUGAGUAUCGCGUGGGUAACCUACCCAGAGGUAGGGGAUAGCCCCGGGAAACCGGGGGUAAUACCGCAUGAGUCCUCGACGACGCAAGUCGAUGAGGGGAAAGGCGGGGAUCCUUCGGGACCUGUCGCCUCUGGAUGGGCCCGCGUCCGAUUAGCUUGUUGGUGGGGUAAUGGCCCACCAAGGCUGCGAUCGGUAGCCGGCCUGAGAGGGUGAACGGCCACAUUGGGACUGAGACACGGCCCAGACUCCUACGGGAGGCAGCAGUGGGGAAUUUUGGGCAAUGGGGGAAACCCUGACCCAGCGACGCCGCGUGGAGGAUGAAGGCCUUCGGGUUGUAAACUCCUGUCAGGUGGGAAGAAAUGCUUGCCGGUUAAUACCCGGCAGGAGUUGACGGUACCACCAAAGGAAGCCCCGGCUAACUCCGUGCCAGCAGCCGCGGUAAUACGGAGGGGGCAAGCGUUAUUCGGAUUUACUGGGCGUAAAGCGCACGUAGGUGGCAUGGUAAGUCAAAGGUGAAAGCCCUCGGCUCAACCGAGGAACUGCCUUUGAAACUGCUUUGCUUGAGUCCGGGAGGGGGGAGCGGAAUUCCCAGUGUAGCGGUGAAAUGCGUAGAUACUGGGAGGAACACCGGUGGCGAAGGCGGCUCCCUGGACCGGUACUGACACUGAGGUGCGAAAGCGUGGGUAGCAAACAGGAUUAGAUACCCUGGUAGUCCACGCCGUAAACGAU